CGCUCGCAAACAGCAGCGUACUAUCUCUGAGCUGCGAAUUGCCCUUAAGUGUCCUGCUGUCAGACGUAUUUUAACGUACCAUGCGCACUUGGCUCUUGUUCUGCGCGUCACAACUGCUGCUCAUGAUGGGACGCGGAGAGUCUCAGAAGAUUGUACAGGUCCAGGAGUAUUUCUCCGUGGGAAAAGGCGAAUCUGUGUCAAUCCCGUGCAUCCAAUAUGGGACUGAUAGUUACAUGUAUUGGUACAGACAGUUCCCUGGCAAGGGUCUCCAGUACAUCCUGCACGCUUUUCAGGAAACUGAACCGACAAGGUCGGACGAGAUCUCAGAUCGGUUCAACGCCAAAAAGACUGCCGGCGGCUCUUUCGAUCUGAAAAUAGAAAAGGUGCAGCCUGGUGAUACGGCUCGAUAUUUCUGUGCCUCCAGUGAUGCACAGUGCAACACUCCUGCUGGACUGCGCUGCAAAAACUCGUCCUGUAGCACGCAGAAACUGUCGCCUAACUAG